rnacentral:rRNA from 1 species
GGCUAACGCUGGGCGGCGUGUCUUAGCCAUGCAAGUCGAGCGGACUUAUGGGGUAACUUAUAAGUCAGCGGCGGACGGCGGAGUAACACGUAGCUAACCUACCCUCUGGACGGGGAUAACCUACCGAAAGGUGGGCUAAUACCCGAUGUAGUCAUCCUGUAUAGGGGUGAUGAAAGGUGGGCUUCUGUUUACAAGCUCAUGCUGGAGGAGGGGCUGCGGCCUAUCAGGUAGUUGGUAGGGUAAUAGCCUACCAAGCCGAUGACGGGUAGCCGGCCUGAGAGGGUGACCGGCCCGAGGGGCACUGAGAUACGGGUCCCACUCCUACGGGAGGCAGCAGGCUAAGAAAGUUUGGGCAAGUGGGGAAACCCUGACCCAGUGACGCCGCGUGCAGGAAGGAGCCCUUCGGGGUGUAAACUGCUGUCGUGUAGGGAGAAGGGUACUAAGGUGAACAAUCUUAGUACUUGACGGUACUACAGGAGGAAGCCCAGGCUAACCUCGUG